rnacentral:rRNA from 1 species
UGCUAGUUGUACGAGUUGAGACUCGUAGCAGAUAGCUCAGUAACACGUGGCCAAACUACCCUAUGGAUCCGGACAACCUCGGGAAACUGAGGCUAAUCCGGAAUACGACUCUCAGCCUGGAAGUGGCGAGAGUCAGAAACGCUCCGGCGCCAUAGGAUGUGGCUGCGGCCGAUUAGGUAGACGGUGGGGUAACGGCCCACCGUGCCUAUAAUCGGUACGGGUUGUGAGAGCAAGAGCCCGGAGACGGUGUCUGAGACAAGAUACCGGGCCCUACGGGGCGCAGCAGGCGCGAAACCUUUACACUGCACGAAAGUGCGAUAAGGGGACUCCAAGUGCGAGGGCAUAUAGUCCUCGCUUUUCACCACCGUAAGGAGGUGGUAGAAUAAGUGCUGGGCAAGACCGGUGCCAGCCGCCGCGGUAAUACCGGCAGCACAAGUGAUGACCGCUCUUAUUGGGCCUAAAGCGUCCGUAGCUGGCCACGCAAGUCUAUCGGGAAAUCCGCGCGCUCAACGCGCGGGCGUCCGGUGGAAACUGUGUGGCUUGGGACCGGAAGAUCCAGAGGGUACGUCCGGGGUAGGAGUGAAAUCCCGUAAUCCUGGACGGACCACCGGUGGCGAAAGCGCUCUGGAAAGACGGAUCCGACGGUGAGGGACGAAAGCUCGGGUCACGAACCGGAUUAGAUACUCGGGUAGUCCGAGCUGUAAACGAUGUCUGCUAGGUGUGCCACAGGCUACGAGCCUGUGGUGUGCCGUAGGGAAGCCGUGAAGCAGACCGCCUGGGAAGUACGUCCGCAAGGAUGAAACUUAA